GCGAUCAUACCAGCACUAAUACUCCAGAUCCCAUUAAAACUCCGCAAUUAAGCGUGCUUAAGCGAGAGUAGUACUAGGAUUGGUGACCCUCUAGGAAGUCCUCAUGUUGCACCA